rnacentral:lncRNA from 1 species
UGCGCCAAAAAUAAAAAAGUAACAAUGAUUUAAGGAAGAAAGCAUAUGGCAAGUUGUACUACUUUGCUUUGAAUUAAGAAAAUAUUGGCUGUUACAGUUGCUGGAUAUGGGGGUCUCAGAGAGAAUUUGUCUUCAAUAAGUGAAAAAGAGGCUAGAAUGAAUGAGAAUACCAGUCAUCAAACAUGUUUUCGAAUCUUCUUUGGAAACAAAAUAAAUGACCCAAGAGAGAAUUAGUAUCUUCCAUUCAUGUUCAUUGUUUUUGCUCUAUCGUUCCUUCAAGCUUGUCUUCAUAACAUCUAAUGCCUAUCCUCAACGGGGCCAUCACAAGACCAUGUCCAUUCGUAUCUUGUGCUGUUUCAUCAGUUCAGAGUUGCAUAACCUGCCCAUUUGCAUCUCAUGAAUCAGAAUGUCUGUAGUUCUCUUUCUCUUGUAAUCCGUGCUCUUCUUUUUCAGUCCUUCAUUGCCUCAUUGCGAUGACUACAGUAACAACAAACAAACCAGGGGUCUAGAAGGGUAGAGUGUAGACAACCAGUACCACUGCCUCAGAGGUGAGGUAGAGAGCUUGUUCCUAAUAGACCCUCAUCUCAAGACAAAAUACACUGCAAAAAAAGAUGUGAUAGAGGGAAAAUAAGGAGUAACACAGCAACAAACAGUAACCGAACAAUACUACCACAAAAUAAUACUACAAGCUAUCUACCCGAAAACAAAAUAUAUCAACAAGAAUCUAAGAAGAAGAAACUACAAGCGACGGCCCAAUGGAUAAAAGUUACUUUAGGGAUAACAGGCUGAUCUUCCCUGUAGCACUAACAACUACUAUCAAGGACAACGCUCCUACUUACUAGCGUGGACGCACGCCGACCUCCUAACCUUCUACCCUAAUUCGCGUUCGACAUACUUUCCUAUCUAAGGUUAUGUCCACAGUAAGCUGAAACGGCACCACCAUAUUCUAAAAGUUGAAACUGAAUAUGUAUAGAAAACCUACCAUUAGAGACCAAAUUAGAGUAGAUACUGGAGAAUUUUCCGAAAAAGCAGCAUGGCAGCUUCCAAAUGUCAAAUACGAGGCAAAUCAAAUCUUAAUCUGACAUCUUUGAUCCAUUUAAUAUGGUUAAUGAAUUUCCUUCAUUCUCAUUGUAUUCUAUCUAUAGCAACACAAUUACAUAAAAAGUAAAUGCUUUUGAAAUGCUCCAUCAGUUCAGAGAAUUGCCAUAGUUAUCAGUUUUAAACCAAAAACUGCUUUGAAAUUCAGGUAAUACUUGAAAUGGCAGAGAAUUGUCAUAUUUAUCAAGUUUAAACCAAAAACUGUCUUGUAUUUCAGGUUAUACUCCAAACAUGCAAGAUUAGAAGAAAAUGUAAUUCCCAGUAUAAACAACGAUGGCCUGAAGGUUCACAUGUCUUGAACCUAAGCAUAUAAUACCUGAUAAGAGUGCAAGUUAAGCGACUGGCUACAUUCAAAUUUUUAAAAGUAAAGUCGUAAUUUAACAUGGGGUACAUUCGUGAGCAACCAGAAAAAAAAAUUUACUGAAGUUUGACUCAUAGAAGAGUAGAACUUACUCCUAAUUCAAAACCCAAAGCCCAACAUUAGUUUUCCAGUGUCCAUAUUUUACUUUCCAAAGUACUCUACACUCCUCAUACAAGCAUAAUCACCCUAAAAAUUAGAGUUAAUCAUCCAACAAAAAGAAUAAAGCAAAGUUACUUUCUCGAGAAGAAGUAUCAUCUGUGAUUGAUUUUAAUCCAAUAUCCACUGAGCUGUAGCCUGUGGCAAUUGCAUGCGUCUAAGCCAAUUCAGUAAUUCUCUUCACAGAUGUACUAGAUCAACCUAAAGCAGAGAUAUGGAAGUCAAUACUACAGUCCUUAAAAGCCAGUGACCAUUUCUUGAGUAAAUUAUUUUCUAGUGGACGCUUUCUAGUAAGUUCUGGUUAGCCAAGUUAUAAGUUGACACUAACUAUAAACUAAAACCAGGUCUUAAAUUAUUUAUUACAAAAUAUUAGGUAUGAUACUUCCAGUAAGCACACUUGUAUGAUACCAUUACCUGUUUGAUUGUCUGGGUAUGAGCUGAUAACUCCAGCUAAUAAAGUUGUUGACACUUGACA